rnacentral:rRNA from 1 species
AUUGAACGCUGGCGGCAGGCCUAACACAUGCAAGUCGAACGAGUGGCGGACGGGUGAGUAAUGUCUGGGAAACUGCCCGAUGGCGGGGGGUAACUACUGGAAACGGUAGCUAAUACCGCAUACCAUCGGAUGUGCCCAGAUGGGAUUGGCUAGUAGGUGGGGUAACGGCUCACCAAGGCGACGAUCCCUAGCUGGUCUGAGAGGAUGACCAGCCACACUGGAAAGGAGACACGGUCCAGACGCCUACGGGAGGCAGCAGUGGGGAAUAUUGCACAAUGGGCGAAAGCCUGAUGCAGCCAUGCCGCGUGUAUGAAGAAGGCCGUCGGGUUGUAAAGUACUUGCAGCGAGGAGGCGUUACUCGCAGAAGAAGCACCGGCUAACUCCGUGCCAGCAGCCGCGGUAAUAC